rnacentral:rRNA from 1 species
GACGAACGCUGGCGGCGUGCUUAACACAUGCAAGUCGAACGGUAAGGCCCUUCGGGGUACACAAGUGGCGAACGGGUGAGUAACACGUGGGUGAUCUGCCCUGCACUUCGGGGUAAGCCUGGGAAACUGGGUCUAAUACCGGAUAGGACCCUGGGAUGCAUGUCCUGGGGUGGAAAGCUUUUGCGGUGUGGGAUGGGCCCGCGGCCUAUCAGCUUGUUGGUGGGGUGAUGGCCUACCCAGGCGACGACGGGGAGCCGGCCUGGGAGGGUGACCGGCCACACGGGGACUGGGAUACGGCCCAGCCGCCUACGGGAGGCAGCAGUGGGGAAUAUUGCACAAUGGGCGCAAGCCUGAUGCAGCGACGCCGCGUGAGGGAUGACGGCCUUCGGGUUGUAAACCUCUUUCAGCACCGACGAAGCGCAAGUGACGGUAGGUGCAGAAGAAGGACCGGCCAACUACGUGCCAGCCGCCGCGGUAA